GGUAAUGUGGCUUAGUGGUAGAGUGGUUGCCUCACAUGCAACUGAGGCCCUGGGUUCAAUCCUCCAUACCU
rnacentral:tRNA from 1 species